CUUGGUCAUUUAGAGGAAGUAAAAGUCGUAACAAGGUUUCCGUAGGUGAACCUGCGGAAGGAUCAUUACCGAAUUGUCAACACGAGUUGUUGCUGGUCCUCAAACGGGGACAUGUGCACGCUCUGUUUGCACAUCCAUUCACACCUGUGCACCCUCUGUAGUUCUGCAGCCUGGGGGCUCUGGCCCCCUGCCGUGGUUCUAUGUAUUUACACACACACGCUGUAACAAAGCCUCAUGGAAUGUAUACCGCGCUUAACGCAAUACAAUACAACUUUCAGCAACGGAUCUCUUGGCUCUCGCAUCGAUGAAGAACGCAGCGAAAUGCGAUAAGUAAUGUGAAUUGCAGAAUUCAGUGAAUCAUCGAAUCUUUGAACGCACCUUGCGCCCUUUGGCUAUUCCGAAGGGCAUGCCUGUUUGAGUAUCAUGAACACCUCAACUCUCAUGGCUUGCCAUGAUGAGCUUGGACUUUGGGGGUCUUGCUGGCCUGGGGUCAGCUCCUCUCAAAUGAAUUAGCUUGCCAGUGUUUGGUGUGGUAUCAUGGGUGUGAUAACUAUCUACGCUUGUGGUUUUCCACCAGGUAACCUUCUGCGACAAAGGUUCGCUGGGGCUCAUAAAUGUCUCUCCUCGGUGAGGACAGCUUUUUGAACGUUUGAUCUCAAAUCAGGUAGGACUACCCGCUGAACUUAAGCAUAUCAAUAAGCGGAGGA
rnacentral:rRNA from 1 species